rnacentral:lncRNA from 1 species
UCCGAACAAGUAUUCUUACAAUUGAUCAUUCAUGACAUGUUCGAACAAAUUGAUUCGAACAUGUGAUAUAACUAAAGAAUUGAAAUAAGAAAUUGAUAAGAAGUGAAAAUUGCCUUGAUGAUUUCAGUUCAUGCUAAGAUCUUUAUAAUACAAAGGUAUGGUGGUUGGAUAAAUCUACAAGUUUGAAUACAAGUGUGUUUAGAUAAGAUGAUAUCAAAACUUAAAAGUACUGAUAAAGAUUGAAUAUUGAAUCUAUUAGCUUCACAUUUUGUUCUUCUUAUCAAAUUGAUUAUUCUCUCCCUGAUGCAACGGAGUUAACUGAUGGUGCUGCUGAAGAUGUUGUUGCAGUGACGUUGAUCCAUUUAUGUUAAUAGAUGAUGCUGAUCCAUUUCCUUUGAUAUAUUUGAUAUGCAUUAAGAGAAGUAUUCCGUAUGAACAAAGCAUAGCAAAAUCCCAUCCCUUUUUUAGCUCCACUCAUAUAUUUCUUCCUUUGUCAAAAAGUACGAUCAAGUUAAUUUUUAUUGUAUUUUUUUUAUCAAAACACUUGCAUACAAUGGGAAAUCAAACUAAUUCUUGUUUUCUAAAAAAUAAUUUGUAUGUCAAUCAAGAUGGUAGAAAAAACACUUACAUACGAUGGCAAAU